GUACUAGUAACAGCAGCUACCCUCCGACAUAGGAAGGAUUUGAAUUGACUUCCUAUACAGGGUGAAGGCAAUAAAAUGACAAUGGUGACAACGGAGUUUCGAACGCAGUUUAUUACAACAGGAAUCUCAUUUAUUACAAUAUGAACCUUAUACAUUGAUGACUAUGACAACUAGUACGUGAACAAUCGUAUUUGCUUUUAGUGACAUGAGUAAUAUAACAAUAUAGGUACUCUAUUUAAAAAGAAUUGCUAGGGAAAGUGAAAAACCAAUAUCAGUAAAAGAAAUACAUUUAUUGUGACUGUACGUGUCCAUCUUAAUUUUAUCUUCAAUAAAAUAAAAUAUGACAAGUACAAAUAGUAUCUAAAGAUAAGAUAUUAUUUACAUCAAAUUUAAACAUGUGCUCAUAGAACAGUGACAUGCACAAUUUUUACACUAUACGUGAACAAUUUCCUAACGAGAUCAUUGACUAUAAAAUGCUAUAUCAUAAAUACAACACUAUAAUGAAGGCAACUAACUUUUCCGAUUAUAACAAAUGAGUCAUUAUCAUUCAUCUCUAUACAUAGGCGGCGGUUCACAAAAGGUACAUUUUAAAAUUCCAUAAAAAAAUUAGAAUAAAAUGAAGGACACAAAGAAUUAAUUCACAUGACAAAAAAAUUAAAUUGAAUGAAUAGAGGAAAUGAUCACAAGGUCCUACUUACUUUUCAAAGGUUUCAAAUACAAACUUCCCACUUGAAAAAUUUUAAACAUAUAUGACAACAAUAUAUCAAUUUAUGUACAACCUAGUACCUAGUUUAUGACGAAAAAUACUCAAAACGAAGAAAAUCAGAGACUAAUUAAAUGACAUCACUUUUAUAAACUGAAAAUAUUGCUUAAUAACCUGUGUUAUAUAGUCCUGACAAAUUUAAUUGUCCAAAACUUUUAAUUUUUUAUUUUAUUAUUCAAUGACAAGUAUUUCUUCACGUCUUUUUAUAUAUUUUAUUACUUCUAAUAUAUAUCUACCUUUCUCUUCUUUGUUUAAUACUUUGAAAUGUUUUUUUUUUUUUGGUCUUCCUCUAUAGUUUUUUCUGGUAUUUCCCGCAUAAGACAUAAAUGUCCAAACCACCUCACUCUAUAAACUUUCUUGUUUUACUUUCAAUAUUUCUGAAGAAUAGCGUAUCAAUUGCCCGCAUUCUUGUUAAUGGUUUCUUAUUUAGUUUGCCACAAAGCAUUGAAAACAAUUUCGAAACGAGGUCUGAUUAAAAGAUACAGUUAAUAAUUUUUAGAAAUAUUUGCAACUAGUAUCUGUAUUGAGCGAUGACAAGUUCGAACCUAUUCUAGCCGUGGUCUGCUACUAUAGCUUUUGUGAGAUCUUUGCAAUAUCUGUCGUGUAACAUGUACCUAGAACAAGGUAGUAACAAUAAUAUUUUUCCAAAUUGAAAAAUUAAUGUCAAAUACAAUCACUGAAAGUUAAUAUUUGUCCUUGACUAUAAUACACCAAGAUUAUUCCAGUAGAGCAGUACUUUAAAGAAGAUUGAUCAAAAUAACCUUUCUACUUUAUUUUUAAUAAAAUAAUCCACUUUAGAUCACACCUCUACAAUUGAUAUCAAGGAUAUUUAAAACCGUAACUAAGAACAAAAAAGUGAGAUUCGUCUAUUUUCAAAAACUAAAGUUUGAAUUCUGAUCACCACGACGGAGGAUCUGUGACCACAGUCGAAAUAACUGAAUAAAUUCAACAUGUGCUGUUAGUUGAUUGGAGAUUAUGGAAACCAUAUGUAUCCCACAUGGCUCAGUAGUUCAUUUUGUUUUUGGGUCGUUUCGACGUAACGUGGAUCCGUUACAAAACCUGAGAACUCCAAAUAAACUGUUAAGGUCCAAAAACCCAACUCCAUUUUUACAACUUGGUGCCAGAUAUCUGGUUUUCGCUGUACUGUUUUCGGUAAAAUACACAAUCUUCAUCACAUUUAGUAAAAUAAUUCGCACUUAGUUUAUUUUGGCAGUAUAAAAUUCGGAAAUACACACGUGACUCUGUAUCAGCUGUUCUAAAGUUUUUAUAUAAACAUAACCUAAAACUUUGAGAUGUGGCGUGCACUUAUUGUCGGAGUGUGAAAAAUUUGAGAUUUUUUAGUAGUUAUAUUAAUUUAAAAAUGUCUUCUCGCAGUUCUCGUAUGUUGAAAAUGGUGUUUGAACCUAGUAAUGGUAAGUGUAUUAUUAUUAAAUGAGAUGUUUACAUUCAACAUUGUUAUUUAUUUCGUUUGUUAGAAGACAAAAUGCCGGUAAAUCACAUUAUAAGCCCAGUACCUCGAAAGAAUGCUCUACUAAUAUAGAGGAAACAGCAUUAUCCAAUCUAGAGCCCGAACCAGAGCGUGUACGUAAUGAAUUGGCAGCAAUUUUAGACGAUUCCGAUUGCUCGAUAAGAGCAAUCAAAAUUGGUAUAUAACUAAUUUAAAUACAGGGUAUUUAUUGUUCUAAAUUAAAAGUUAAUAGUGAAAGAAUUUUCGAGAAUUUUUAGUAGGCCUUCCAACAUUACAGUCAAGAAUAAAAAAGGAAGAAGUACCAUCUAUAAAGAGGGCCACUUUUUUUCACUAAAGAUUAGUAGGAUAUCGAAUAGAGUAAAAAAUUAGCACUUCUAGAGGCUUCAAAUAACCUUGCCAGUGAGAACGUUUAUACAGAAAAAAAUGAGUGAAGUGCAUGGCAAUAUCCUGAAGGAGUAGAAAAGAUAGCUGGACAAUUCAAUUAAACCCAUGUAAGUAGGAUGGAGAGUGAGUAACAAAGAAAACUGAAGACCCCAUCAGAUGAGAUGGGAUGCCAAUAUUUGUUUCCAAUCGACUUAUAGAUACGGUAAAUAGAAUUACAAGACACUUUUUAUAGAUGAUACUACAACUCUAAAUAAAGUUUAUACAGUCAAAGCUUUCUUAAUCAACUUAGGUUUAGCCGCUCGUCGCAUUAACUAAAAAUAGAUAACCAUAAAGAAAUAUUAUUCCACAAAUAACUUUCCGUAUCAAACAAAAUGCAAUCAAUUGCUCUUUCUUCGCAGUUUUUCUUAAUUUCGUUUUUAAUUCACUUAAUAAUUGAUUAUUGUUUCAUUAUAUAAUACUGUAUCAUCUUUAGUGCUUAGCGGAAAAGGCAUGCUGUGCCAAACAUUAGUGAUAAAUUCGGUGUCUGUUUUAGUAAAACCGUUUUACCACAGCUAUAGACUGGAAAACUCGUUGGACCGUACAGAUUAGUUAUGACUAUGUUUUGAAAAAAAAAAAGACAUGAUAUUCCAAAUUGAAAACGGGGGAUUUUCAAUGCAGUGACGGUAGCUAGCGCGCUGAAAAAACAUCAAGUCAUUGAUUUCCCAAGCGUCAGCCCAACUGUAUUUACAGAAUGGAUUAAACAACUUGGUGUGAUUUUAUAAAAACAGGCUUACAUGCUGAACAGAUAUUUAACUUCAAACAUUUACGAGAUAAAAAGCUUGCCAUCAGCAAAGAGAAAUCAACUCAAAGUUUUAGAAUUCAUAAAGAGAGGAUUACAGUUUCAGAGCGUUUAAAAAUGUGAAUGUUCCAUCACUGGUAGCUUGUUAUUAAUAAGCUUGUAUAGACAAAGAAUUGAGGUAUACAGGUAAUUGAAUUUGUUAAUUUAAUGCGUCAGGUACAUAUUUAUCAAUUUUUUUAGGAAUACUGGGUGACUCACAAACAAAUUUUACCACUUUUAGAAAUAAAUUUUGUUAUACUUCAGAAGUUUAGCCUUUUUUCAUUAUCCGAUCCCAUAAGAGUCGGUUAAAAGAGCUUUUACUGUACUAUAAUAUUCUUUAAAUAUUGCACAAAUGUGCUAUUAUAAUAUUUUGACACAAUUUCCUCGACCUUUUUGCUAGACACUACUAUAAUAUAACUAUGAAAAUAUUUCUUCACAAAUAAAAUGAGAAAUAAUAUUUUUUCUCUAUAAGUACACAAUAUACAUUAUAAAUAAUAGAAGAAGGGCUUGAUUGUCAUUAUUAGACAAAAAAAUGUAAAGCGCGCGAUAUCAUUUUUAUGGAUCACAGACUUUUUACAAUAAUUAACAAUCAUGUUAUUUAUUAUACUAUAACAUUUUAAAUAUUUGUUAAAACUUAAAAAGAAUGCGUAUUCGCUUUGAAAAAUGUUUUGGCUCUACUCUUAGAAGAUAUUUAGAGUUUUCUAAUCAUUAUUACGCCGCUAUUUUUAUAAACAAAUAAAAUUAUUGUAUUAUUUUACAGGUUCGUUUUAUGAAGCAAAGGAUUGAAACUGGAAUAGUAAUGUCCAAUGUUCCAACAGUUUCUUGAACUGAUUUCAUACUUUUUUCGUCAUGUUUGUCGAUUUCAAUUGGAUUCGAGCUCGCGAUUGUACAUAACGAAUUGUUUUAUGGGUAUAUUAAGAGUUAACGAGGUUUGUUUAUGAUCGGUGCUUUAACCUAAUCAAUGUGAUUUGUGAUAUGUAAUGUUAUAUAAUUAUUCUUAUUUGUGUUUACGAUCUGCGUUUCUGUCAGCUAAUAGAAAAGUGUCGAAUCAAGCAGGAAUAAUUUCCAACAGAUAUCGGAAUGGUUCGUGAAUUUUUAAAUUCUAAAUUAAUCUUGGAUUUCUUGUCAGAACUAAACUGUUUCCGUUUUACAUUAUAGCAUACUAUUUGUACUUAUGUAAUUAUUACGCAAGCCGAAUAUGAGCAAGAAUAUUUCGAAAAGUGAUUCUUUUUUUAUUUAUUCAACAAUUUACAUUCAAUAUGGCUGUUUAUGAUAGUAAAAUGAAAUAUACAUACAACUAAUACAAGUUAAUUUAAGCCACAAAUCUAAAAAGCAAUAUGUUCGCUUUUUAGUCAGAGUAAGUUUUUUAUAUUUUGGUUAAUACCCCAUACAUGCAAAAAGGUAAUUUCGAAAAAAUUACUAAGAAAUUUAAUGCUAUUUUGUGUUGAUGAAAAUCUUUUCUGAACAAUGACUUUUCGACAUGUAAAUAUACCAUGCAAAUAUAAGUUAAACAAUUUAUCAAGCACCAAACAGCUGCAAAAAUUUUGGUGUUAUAGUUCCAAAUGUGGAAAUUUUGACUGAAUGGCCCUGGAUAACCAUGGAAUGGACAUCCGUCAACCAACCCUCGGUCACUUGUUCAGGAUUCAUAAAAUAUUUAAUGUAAUCCACAUUUCUUUUUGCAACAAUUGUUCUGAAUAUUAUUGAAGAACUAUCCCAGAAUAUAGUUUAAAGAUUUCAAAACCAUAUUUGGUUAAAUGUAAAGAUUUCAGGAUCAAUGUUAGAAGUACUUAAUUCUUGAAAGUUUCAUCUCUAGACUUCAUUGAUAUCUUUUCGUGAAAUCAUCAGAUUACUAAGUGUCCUUCUACAUUAUUAAACACAAACUCAAUUUGAAAGUUUCAUUAGUGUGAGUUUGUGUUUUCACAAAAAUUAAUUUUGUUAAUUAUACAAGAUUGAGAUCUAAUUCAAUUUAUAAAAUUAUGAGGUUAAGGGUAAGUAAACAAUACUAUACAUCAAAGUUUACAAUAACUUGAGCUUAAAACAUUAAUUUUGAUUCUACUUUCAUUUCAAUAGAUAAUAUAAUUCAAGCAGCAAGCUUUUUCCAUUUUAAAAUGAUAUAAUAAGAGAUAAAAUUGCCUCUAAUAAUUCAACUAAAUGAAGCCUGUUCAGUUUGGAACCCGAACAAUUAAAAACCGAGACGUGGUGUCACCGCUAAUACGACGUAAAAAAAUUUGCACAUAUGAAAAUACUGAAAAUAUAUGGUGAUUUUUCUCAAUGGUUUAACCAGAUGUUUCAAGAAAAUAAUGAAGAAUCACACAAGAACAUCGUUUUACUAUGAUCUAUAAAAGUAUAAUAUCUACUCAAAUGCAACAAAGUAUGUAAUGCAUAAUUCAUAAUAAAUGGUAUUAGUUAUCUUGCCAUUAAUGGUUUUAUAAUUUUAUAUUUGAAUAAAAUUCUCUUUAUACAAUAUGUCUGUUCUGUUUUGUAUUAUUUAAAGGUACUUAACAAGAUACUUUUAUAUA